GGGCCCGCACAAGCGGUGGAGUAUGUGGUUUAAUUCGACGCAACGCGAAGAACCUUACCAAGCCUUGACAUUGAUUGCUAAGGGUAGAGAUACCCUGUUCCUCUUCGGAGGACAAGAAAACAGGUGGUGCACGGCUGUCGUCAGCUCGUGUCGUGAGAUGUUGGGUUAAGUCCCGCAACGAGCGCAACCCCUAUCUUCUGUUACCAGCGAGUUAAGUCGGGGACUCAGGAGAGACUGCCGCAGACAAUGCGGAGGAAGGCGGGGAUGACGUCAAGUCAUCAUGCCCCUUAUGGCUUGGGCUACACACGUACUACAAUGGCUCUUAAUAGAGGGAAGCGAAGGAGCGAUCCGGAGCAAACCCCAAAAACAGAGUCCCAGUUCGGAUUGCAGGCUGCAACCCGCCUGCAUGAAGCAGGAAUCGCUAGUAAUCGCAGGUCAGCAUACUGCGGUGAAUACGUUCCCGGGCCUU
rnacentral:rRNA from 1 species